GACGAACGCUGGCGGCGUGCUUAACACAUGCAAGUCGAGCGACGGCAUCUCUUCGGGGGUGUACGGAGCGGCGAACGGGUGAGUAACACGUGAGCAACCUGCCCUUGGCUUUGGGAUAACCCUCGGAAACGGGGGCUAAUACCGGAUAUCCACGCGUGGCCGCAUGGUGGUGUGUGGAAAGUUUUUCGGCUGAGGAUGGGCUCGCGGCCUAUCAGCUUGUUGGUGGGGUGAUGGCCUACCAAGGCGACGACGGGUAGCCGGCCUGAGAGGGCGACCGGCCACACUGGGACUGAGACACGGCCCAGACUCCUACGGGAGGCAGCAGUGGGGAAUAUUGCACAAUGGGCGAAAGCCUGAUGCAGCGACGCCGCGUGAGGGAUGAAGGCCUUCGGGUUGUAAACCUCUUUCGGCAGGGACGAAGGGUGACUGACGGUACCUGCAGAAGAAGCGCCGGCCAACUACGUGCCAGCAGCCGCCGUAAAAC
rnacentral:rRNA from 1 species